rnacentral:rRNA from 1 species
GACGAACGCUGGCGGCGUGCUUAACACAUGCAAGUCGAACGAAGUGGCGAACGGGUGAGUAACGAGUAAUCAACAUGCCCGUCAGAGGGGGACAACAGUUGGAAACGACAGCUAAUACCGCAUACGGAAGGUGGGGGGUGCGUCUGAUUAGAUAGUUGGGGGGGUAAAGGCCCACAAAGGCGAUGAUAAGUAACCGGGCUGAGAGGAUGAACGGCCACAUUGGGACUGAGACACGGCCCAGACUCCUACGGGAGGCAGCAGUGGGGAAUCUGCCGCAAUGGACGAAAGUCUGACGGAGCACCGCCGCGGGAGUGAUGACGGCCUUCGGGUUGUAAAGCUCUGUUAAUCGGGACGCGGUACCGGAAUAGAAAGCCACGGCUAACUACGUGCCAGCAGCCGCGGUAAUAC